UUAUCUCUUGCUUGGAGGUGAAGUUACACGUAUAAAAGGAAUUCAAGGUUGUCCUAUUCCCUUUACAAAGGAAAGAAUCAAAAGACGGAAUGAAAGUGCUCGUUCUGUUGUCGAUUUUCGGACUAGCUGUGGCCGAGCCGCUUGUGGCUGAGCCGGUACCAGAAGCCGUAUAUGGAGAGAAAGCUUAUGAUAAUCCCGAGGAGAAUUCGGGUCUUUUCGAGGGUGAUAUUGACCUCCUGCCCGGAGAAACCCCAAAUG